rnacentral:rRNA from 1 species
AUUGAACGCUGGCGGCAUGCUUUACACAUGCAAGUCGAACGGCAGCACGGGGGCAACCCUGGUGGCGAGUGGCGAACGGGUGAGUAAUACAUCGGAACGUGUCCUGAGGUGGGGGAUAACCUGGCGAAAGCCAGGCUAAUACCGCAUACGCUCGAAAGAGGAAAGCAGGGGACCGCAAGGCCUUGCGCAGCAGGAGCGGCCGAUGUCCGAUUAGCUAGUUGGUGGGGUAAAGGCCCACCAAGGCGACGAUCGGUAGCUGGUCUGAGAGGAUGAUCAGCCACACUGGGACUGAGACACGGCCCAGACUCCUACGGGAGGCAGCAGUGGGGAAUUUUGGACAAUGGGGGCAACCCUGAUCCAGCCAUGCCGCGUGAGUGAAGAAGGCCUUCGGGUUGUAAAGCUCUUUCGGUGGGAACGAAACGGGCACGGCUAAUACCCGUGUUCAAUGACGGUACUCACAGAAGAAGCACCGGCUAACUACGUGCCAGCCGCCGCGGUAAAAC